CGGGGUAGAGUAACGCGUGAGGAGCCUGCCUCAAAGAGGGGGACAACAGUUGGAGACGACUGCUAAUACCGCAUAAGCCCACGGGUCGGCAUCGACCUGAGGGAAAAGGAGCAAUCCGCUUUGAGAUGGCCUCGCGUCCGAUUAGCUAGUUGGUGAGGUAAUGGCCCACCAAGGCGACGAUCGGUAGCCGGACUGAGAGGUUGAACGGCCACAUUGGGACUGAGACACGGCCCAG
rnacentral:rRNA from 1 species